UACGUAGGUGGCAAGCGUUGUCCGGAAUUACUGGGCGUAAAGCGUGCGCAGGCGGUUAUGUAAGUCAGAUGUGAAAUGCCCGGGCUUAACCUGGGAACUGCAUUUGUGACUGCAUGGCUAGAGUUUGGCAGAGGGGGGUAGAAUUCCACGUGUAGCAGUGAAAUGCGUAGAUAUGUGGAGGAACACCGAUGGCGAAGGCAGCCCCCUGGGUCAAGACUGACGCUCAUGCACGAAAGCGUGGGGAGCAAACAGG
rnacentral:rRNA from 1 species